GAAGGCAAAUGACGAGUAAUCUUAUCCUACACACUGAAAUUUGAUGUAGAUCAAAACUCCGCUUAUUAUCUGAUGCCUUG
rnacentral:snoRNA from 1 species